GAUGAACGCUGGCGGCGUGCCUAAUACAUGCAAGUCGAGCGAACGGACGAGAAGCUUGCUUCUCUGAUGUUAGCGGCGGACGGGUGAGUAACACGUGGAUAACCUACCUAUAAGACUGGGAUAACUUCGGGAAACCGGAGCUAAUACCGGAUAAUAUUUUGAACCGCAUGGUUCAAAAGUGAAAGACGGUCUUGCUGUCACUUAUAGAUGGAUCCGCGCUGCAUUAGCUAGUUGGUAAGGUAACGGCUUACCAAGGCAACGAUGCAUAGCCGACCUGAGAGGGUGAUCGGCCACACUGGAACUGAGACACGGUCCAGACUCCUACGGGAGGCAGCAGUAGGGAAUCUUCCGCAAUGGGCGAAAGCCUGACGGAGCAACGCCGCGUGAGUGAUGAAGGUCUUCGGAUCGUAAAACUCUGUUAUUAGGGAAGAACAUAUGUGUAAGUAACUGUGCACAUCUUGACGGUACCUAAUCAGAAAGCCACGGCUAACUACGCG
rnacentral:rRNA from 1 species